rnacentral:rRNA from 1 species
UGCCGCGUGAGUGAUGAAGGCCUUCGGGUUGUAAACUACUUUCGGCGGGACGAGUAAGGUAGACGGUAAACCGCGACGAACGAAAGACUCCCGGCUAACUUCGUGC